ensembl:lncRNA novel transcript
GAGAAAUAAUUAGUGGGAAACAAUACUAAAAAAUGGCAUUUAAAUAAAUAUUUAUUGAGCAUCUAAAAUCUAUAUAACAUUGAUCCAGUAGUAGUAAUAAUAUGGUGGUAUGGUGGUUGUCAUCAUCAUAGCAGCUAGCAUUCAAAGAGUAUGUAGCAAUCAUGGUAAUAAGCAGGACUUAACAUUCAUUAUCACAUUCAAUCACUACAAUUCUAUAAGCUGGGAAUUAUGUCCCUUUUAAAGAUUAGAAAACUGAGACAUGGCUUUCUAAUGACUUGCCCAAGGUCACACAGCUAAGAAGUGGUGCAGCCAGGAUUUGACCCUAUGUAAUCUGCUGAAGCAGGUAAUUAAAGAAAGGGCAGCCGGGUGCUGGUGGCUCACGCUGUAAUCUCAACACUUUGGGAGGCUGAAGCAGGUGUGAGCCACCAUGCCCAGCCAAGAAGUCAGAUUUAAAGGUCUUAGUAAAACCAGUCAAAGAAUUAGUCUUGCUAGUUUCUGGAAAAGAGCUCUAUAAAGACAGGAAGUACAAGUUAGAGAGAAGAAUUUAUGAUUUCAGAGAUAAAACUAUUCCUUACAACAAGACACCAUGAUACAGCCACAGAGUAAGUGGCAGACAUAAAAUACUGAUGGUCUCUAGAAAUUAACUCAAGCAAAUAGGAGGUCAAGAGUGUACAGCAC